rnacentral:rRNA from 1 species
AUUGAACGCUGGCGGCAUGCUUUACACAUGCAAGUCGAACGGUAACAGGCCGCAAGGUGCUGACGAGUGGCGAACGGGCGAGUAAUGCACCCGUACGUGCCCAGCCCUGGGGUAUAACUACUCGACAGAGUAGCUAAUCCCGCAUACGAUCUAUGCAUGAAAGCGGGGGACCGUAAGGCCUCGUUCCAUUGGAGCGGCCGAUGUCCGAUUAGGUAGUUGGUGGGGUAAAGGUUCACCAAGCCAACGAUCUGUAGCUGGUCGCAGAGGAGGAGCAGCCACACUGGGACUGGAACAGGGCCAUGAGUACUACGAGACGCAGCAGAGGGGAAUUUUGGACAAUGGUCGCAAGCCUGAUCCAGCAAUCCCGAGUGUAGGGCGAAGACGUUCGGGUUGUAAGCUGCUUUUGUAGGGAAUGAAACGGCUUUGGUUAAGACGCGGGGUUAAUGACGGUAACGUAAGAAUAAGCACCGGCUAACUACGUG